AACUCCUUUCUGAUUCUGAAGAAGUUCUUGCCGUAUUGCCGGAGCCCCUUAACGAAGCGUUUCUGUGAUAAAAAAGAAAUAAGUGAGAUGUAAAAACCAAAACCAAAACAGGAUGUCAGCAAAGCAAAGAUAUCUGCAAUCAGCAGAAAAGCAACCACAAAAGUCGGUGCUUGGGAAUAUUAGCCAGGCUGGAGGGUUUCCGCGGCACAGCCGGGACCGGCUGGUAGGGCAGGGCAGCCCCCGGCCUGCGGGGACCACAAGCAGCGCGGCGCUUGUUUCGGAAAAGGCAACCGGAGCUACGGCGGCCUCCUGACACCACAGGCUGAACGAAGGUGCGAACAACAAACAGCCCGCGUUGCAAUAAACCAGCAGAGCUGCUUUCCGCCCGCGGAAGCAGCUGCCUUCACACAAGUGUCUCGGGCCGAUCCGGCCCUUUCCCCAGCCCUGUCCACGGAAGCCGACAAGCAGCCCGCAGCCCGGAGCCAGGAACCUCUGGGGUCGAGCCCCCGGCCCGCUCGGCCCGCAGACUUUCACUUCGGCCGGCUCCACGAGCAGCUCCCACCUCCGAUCCGAGCGCGACCCGCAGCCACAGAGAGGAAUGCUAAGCCACUAAGUUCGUCGCCAUGGUCUGUUUCUGAAGUCUUCCAGUGACUGAACGUGAAUUCAGCACUUGCAAGGUCUUGUGUAUUACUUCUCUGUUCCUGACAGUAUUAUAUUGGAAUGCCAGCCGCCAAGGGUGACACGGACAUUUAAACUGUGGUAGCUGUAUUCACAUACUACGGUGCUAAGCAGCUCUGCUCCGUGCUCCAGGCCUUUCUAUCACCACAUUUGCAUGUGGGUGCUGAAGCUCUUGAGAAGUUGACACGUUUCUUUGGUACUUUUUACCUCCAAGCAACCUGAGUGUGCACCUUGGGAGCAAAACCAACUAUUUAUGCAUCCUCACAGCCAGGUGAAACCCAAACAGAAACCUAGACUUACCUAUGGCAAAGGUGAAGACGUGACUUCUCAGCUCCUUGCUCUAGCUACCAGCUGCCAUGCUUCCUGACAUUCUGUGAUCUCUCUCUUCCCCACAUUGCUUUUGGUCAUGGUAUUUUAUCACAGCAAUAGAAGGGUAAUCAAUACCAAUAAUAGUAAUAAAAGUUUAGUCACUGUGAGUCAGUCAGUGGUGGCACAUGUCUUUAAUCCCAGAACAGGUCCCCGGGUCAGUCUGGUGUACACAGGGAGUUCAAGGACACCCAGGGCUACAUAGAGAAACCAUGUCUUGAACCCCCCCCCAAAAAACAAAACAAAACAAAACAAACAAACAAACAAAAAAAACCAAAAACCACAAAACAAAAGUUCGGAACCCUGGAAGCAUCAGGCUGGAGAGCAGGCCAGACAAAUUCACCUCAUCAGCUCCAGCUGUCAUUUCCCAGCUUGGGAAUGAAGGGGCUUUGAAAAGAACCCCCCACUUCUCACAUCAAUCACUCCUGAAUUCUCCCAGUACAGAGACUGAGGGAAAUAGGUUUCCAAUGCUGAUUUCAGGAUGGCUCUGUCUGUUUGUUAGGAGUGGCUUGCUUUUUUGAUGUAGAGUACUAAAACAUAACCUCGGCUAGAUCUGGCCACAUACACCUGUAAUCCCAGCACUUGGGAGGCAGAGGUUCAAAGCCAACCUCAGCUUCAGAAUGAGUCUGAGCCCAUCCAGAUGGUACAGGAGACCCUAUCUCAGGAUGAAAACAAAGAAAACAAACCCUUUAAUCUCAAUGUCAGUCAAGUAUUGAUUUAAACAAAGAAGUGAACUACUUUUCCUGGCAGAACAAGCACUCUCUACUUUAACGACAGCUCGUCUGGAUGCUGCACGUGAUACAGACUUGACCUAUGAGAGAGACACUGAUGAACUGUAGAGGGAAGGGGCUGCUUAAGGUGUUAUGGACCCUGCGUCUGACGACGUGGAGCAAGCAGUCCUUAAUCACUAGCUUACUGAUUACAUGAGUAACCUGGCGGUGGCCGGCAGUCCUUCCAGAUUGACUGGCUUCACUGUCUUCUGACAGGCCUCUGCUGCCAAGUUUUGGUUUUGUAGGUCCAAUCAAACCUACAAGAUCGCUAGAGGAUUAAAGCCAUAAGCUCCCACUAGA